UUCUUUACCAUCUCUUCAGCAACCAUUAGCGUUUCUUCCUUCACCAUCUCCAUCAUCACAAAACACCACCUCAGCAUCAUCUUCUUUCGUGAUCUCCAUCUCCACCACCGUGAAAACCAACACCGUUGUCGACAACAUCGUCUUCCUCUGCCAUCUCUAUUUCCUCCACAAUCACAAACACGAACAUCGCUAUCAAUUUCAUCACCUUUAUCCAACAAACACCAUUAUCGGUACCAGUAACACCACCAUCAAAAGUGGUUUUCUGUGGAUGCCAAUUUCAUAAAAAUUUCUAAAAUUUAUUAAACUGAAAAGGUUAUGGUUUUAGGUUAAAUCAAUUUCACAAGAUGAAACGGAGAAUAUUCUCAAAUUGGACAUAUUAUUGAGCAGGAUUGGAAGGAGAUGGUUGAAACACUUACCCAAGCAAAUUGUGGCAAAAUAUAGGAAAUCCUUGAAGUCGUGCCACUGAAAUGGCUUCCUAACUGUUCUAGUACCUCAUGUAUGUUUUGUAGUGUGAGAAUUCAUUCUCUUAUGUGUUCGAGGCAUCACUGUAGGUUUUGUGAAGGGAUAUUUUGUCGUGAAUGUUCUAAAGGAAGGAGUCUGUUGCCAGUAAAAUUUCGGACAGAGGAUCCAAAACGAUUCUGCGAUGUUUGUUAUGUACGUCUCGAAUCGGAGCAGUCAUACUUAAUGGAACAAGUAAGUCGAGCGGCGCAGUUUCCGACUCAUGACGUAACAGACCUCAGUACUUUGCGGUCAUGGGUAAACUUCCCAUGGUGUCAUUCAAUGGAGGAUGAAAUCUACAAGGCUUCUAACAUGAUCCUUGGUUAUAAUAAGGUGCUUUUCUGGGGUGUUCUCCCUAAGGGAGUAUUGUGACUACUCGUGUGCUUGAGAACUCUCGGUUCUAUGGUAGUUCCUCCAUUUCUGCAUCGUAUAUUCUUCUCGGUUCAUUACCUGCCUCACCUACAGAUUUCAUGGUCUAUGACACGCUUUCUGAUCUAUUUCAGAAGCUUGAUGGGUAAUGAGGCUUUAGGUUGGGUUCCGGAAUUUCUGUUCAGUAUCAGGUAAAGGCUGGUUUUCCUACGAGUUAAAUUCAUAUUUUUUCUGCUGAAGAGUUCUCUAAGCUUUGAUGGUACCCCUAAUUAGUUAGUGCGAACGUGUAUAUUGUACGUGAUGGAACAUUUUAAGAACUAAAUGUACAGACUAUAAACCUAUUUGAUUGUGUAAGUGAUCUGCUAGUCAGAUAAUGAAAAUCUAUUCAGAAAA